CCUACGGGAGGCAGCAGUGGGGAAUAUUGGACAAUGGGCGAAAGCCUGAUCCAGCCAUGCCGCGUGUGUGAAGAAGGCCUUCGGGUUGUAAAGCACUUUCAGUGGGGAAGAAAGCCUUGGGGCUAAUACCCUCGAGGAAGGACAUCACCCACAGAAGAAGCACCGGCUAACUCCGUGCCAGCAGCCGCGGUAAUACGGAGGGUGCGAGCGUUAAUCGGAAUUACUGGGCGUAAAGCGCGCGUAGGCGGUCUGAUAAGCCGGUUGUGAAAGCCCCGGGCUCAACCUGGGAACGGCAUCCGGAACUGUCAGGCUAGAGUGCAGGGGAGGAAGGUAGAAUUCCCGGUGUAGCGGUGAAAUGCGUAGAGAUCGGGAGGAAUACCAGUGGCGAAGGCGGCCUUCUGGACUGACACUGACGCUGAGGUGCGAAAGCGUGGGUAGCAAACAGGACUAGAUACCCCAGUAGUC
rnacentral:rRNA from 1 species